rnacentral:rRNA from 1 species
UACAUACUGUGCGAACGUUAUUCGGAUUCACUGGGCUUAAAGGGCGCGUAGGUGGCAUGUUAAGUAGGGUGUGAAAGCCCCCGGCUCAACCGGGGAACUGCACUCUAUACUGGCGUGCUAGAGUGAGAUAGGGGUGUGUGGAACUGCCAGUGGAGCGGUGAAAUGUGUUGAUAUUGGCAGGAACGCCGGUGGCGAAAGCGACACACUGGGUCUCAACUGACACUGAGGCACGAAAGCCAGGGGAGCGAACGGG